rnacentral:hammerhead_ribozyme from 1 species
ACCCAGAUGACGAGUCCCGAAUAGGACGAAACGCGCGUCGUGGAU